rnacentral:rRNA from 1 species
AAUGAACGCUGGCGGCAUGCCUAACACAUGCAAGUCGAACGAAGGCUUCGGCCUGAGUGGCGCACGGGUGCGUAACGCGUGGGAAUCUGCCCUCAGGUUCGGACUAACAGCGAGAAAUUGCUGCUAAUACAGGAUGAUAUCGCGAGAUCACAGAUUUAUCGCCUGAGGGUGAGCCCGCGUAGGAUUAGCUAGUUGGUGUGGUAAAGGCGCACCAAGGCGACGAUCCUUAGCUGGUCUGAGAGGAUGAUCAGCCACACUGGGACUGAGACACGGCCCAGACUCCUACGGGAGGCAGCAGUGGGGAAUAUUGGACAAUGGGCGAAAGCCUGAUCCAGCAAUGCCGCGUGAGUGAUGAAGGCCUUAGGGUUGUAAAGCUCUUUUACCCGGGAUGAUAAUGACAGUACCGGGAGAAUAAGCUCCGGCUAACUCCGUGCCAGCCGCCGCGGUAA